CGAGGCGAACCGGGGAAACUGAAACAUCUCAGUACCCCGAGGAAAAGAAAUCAACCGAGAUUCCCCCAGUAGCGGCGAGCGAACAGGGAGCAGCCCAGAGUCAACAUCAAUAUUUACCGCAGGAGAAAGAUCUGGAAAGGCCGGCAAUAAAGGGUGAUAGCCCCGUAUCUGAAGCGGUAAGUGUUGUGAACUCGAAGAGUAAGGCGGGACACGUGUUAUCCUGUCUGAAUAUGGGGGGACCAUCCUCCAAGGCUAAAUACUCCUGACUGACCGAUAGUGAACCAGUACCGUGAGGGAAAGGCGAAAAGAACCCCGGCGAGAGGAGUGAAAUAGAACCUGAAACCGUGUACGCACAAGCAGUAGGAGCACCCGAAAAGGUGUGACUGCGUACCUUUUGUAUAAUGGGUCAGCGACUUAUAUUCUGUAGCAAGGUUAACCGCAUAGGGGAGCCGUAGGGAAACCGAGUCUUAACUGGGCGUUAAGUUGCAGGGUAUAGACCCGAAACCCGGUGAUCUAGCCAUGGGCAGGUUGAAG
rnacentral:rRNA from 1 species